UUGAACCACAAUCCUCAGAUCUCAAACUCCUGAGUAGCUAGGAUUAUAGGUGUGAGAUACUGGCACUUGGUACCCUUCAGCUUCUUAAAGUUUGAAGUUUGCAGAAAGACAUUUUAAGUCACCUCCUCAUAUACAUACCCUUUAAAUUUUCAUUCUUCUGGUAAACUUUUAAUUAUAGCAAGAAUUUCUACACUCACUUCCUUUACAGCACAUUUCUUUCAGCCUUUGAACAGUUGUUUGUUUGCAAAGCCAUUUUCCCUCAUGAUUUGUUAUGGACCUCCAUUAAGAAAACAAUUUAUUAGUGCCUACUAUAACCCACUGAUUGGUUCCACAAUGAAUCUAUAAAAAUACUAUUCUGAUCUGUGCAGGUAUUUGUCUCAAAGGCCUGUCAAGUUUGUUUUUCUGUCCAUAGUCUGUUUUAGAUUGCCAUGUAAGACACGCUAUGUCAUGACAUUUAAUUCUGCCCUAAGUGGGGGUUGAGUGCUCUGUCCUUCCUGUAUUAAAUCAGAAUAAGAGCAGUAACAUAGUUAUGUUCUUUAACAUGCUUUGGUAUUUUUUUCAGCCAUAUGCUGACACUUUGUUGUUUGUUUUUAAACAACCUGUUUAUUCAGAAGAUAUUUAUAAAAGGAACAGAGUUCUUUUUCUUCAGAUUUGAGGGGAGAAUUAGGUAGUAUUUUCCCCUAAAGAAAUGUUAAUAUCCAUUUUGUCUUUGUUAAUAUCCUUUGUCUUUGCUUGACUUAGUUUCGCCUGUUUCUGUAUUUAAAACCCCAAGUGUGGUCUGGAGGCAUGGCUCAAAUGGUAUGGCACCUUUCUAGCAAGCAUGAGGUCCUGAGUUCAAGACCCUAAUACCACCAAGAGAAAAAACAAAAGGCAAGUGUGUUAAUUCAGUUGGAAUCUGUUUUUUUCUGGUGAUUUUUUUUCCCUCACUGAUACCCUAUAGAACUAUUUGAUAAAAAUGAACAUUGCCUUCUAAAGUGAUUCUCACAUGACUUGUCAUGCUCUGUGUCUUUUAGGGGAUCACCUAUAUAAAGGGAAAAAAAAUCAAGAUAUUAAGUACCCUAAUUGUCAUUUCUUUGUGGUAUGAUACUGGGCAGAUUACUUUUCUUUUAUCCAAGUGCUAACCAGGCCUGAUCUUGCUUAGCUUCUGGCAUCAGACAAGAUUUAGCUGGCACGUUCAGGAUGGUGUGGUUGAGGACUACAGAUAACAAAGUUUUAAAUUCCAUUUUCCUUUCAAACUG